rnacentral:rRNA from 1 species
AUUGAACGCUGGCGGCAGGCCUAACACAUGCAAGUCGAGCGGAUGAGGGGUGCUUGCUCCUGGAUUCAGCGGCGGGCGGGCGGGUAAUGCCUAGGUAUCUAACCUGUCGUGGGGGAUAACGUCCGGACACGGGCGCUCAUCUCACACAGGUCCUGCGGGAGAAUGUGGGGGAUCUUCGGACGUCACGCUAUCAGAUGAGCCUAGGUCGGAUUGGCUAGUUGGUGGGGUAAAGGCCUACCAAGGCGAGGAUCCGUCCUUGGUCUGAGAGGAUGAUCAGUCACACUGGAACUGGAACGCGGUCCGGACUCCUACGGGAGGCAGCGGAGGGGAAGGGGGGACAGUGGGCGGAAGCCUGGCCCGAUGAAGCGACGUGUGUGAAGAAGGUCUUCGGAUCGUGAAGCGCUUUAAUGUGGGAGGAGGUGAAGUACGUGAAUAUGUUGCGGUUUUGACGGUACCCGCAGAUGAAGCGCCGGCUAACUACGUG